rnacentral:rRNA from 1 species
AACGAACGCUGGCGGCAGGCUUUAUACAUGCAAGUCGCACGAUUAAGACCCCUUCGGGGGUGAAUAGAGUGGCGAACGGGUGAGUAACAGGUGGAUAAUUUGCCUCCCGGUGGGGGACAACGGCUGGAAACGGCCGCUAAUACCGCAUUCGGUUGCGGGGUCUUAGGGCUCUGCAAAGAAAGGCGCCUCAAAGCGCUGCCGGGAGAAAAGUCCGCCCCCCAUUAGCUAGUUGGUGAGAUAACAGCCCACCAAGGCAACGAUGGGUAGCCGAGCUGAGAGGUUGAUCGGCCACACUGGAACUGAGACACGGUCCAGACACCUACGGGUGGCUG